CCUCCCCCGGCGGGUGAGGGACCGCGGACAAACUCCCGCCCGGGCAGCCUGUCCGCGGCGGGGAGCGCCCCAGCCCCCAGGAGCUCCUCGCGGGGCUGCAGCGGGCUCCUCACCUGGCGGGAGGGCGGCCUCAGACGCCGGCGGGACAAGUAGAGCCGCCCGCGGCCCGAGGAAGCCUCCGCGCCACCGGGGAGAGCAGGCCGUUAAAAACAAUUAAGGCGGCCGGUAUCGCCAAGGUAGCCGGGAAUAAGGUGGCCUUCCGGGCACGCAGCAGUGUGGAAGUUUCCUCGCUAAGGAAGAGAUGAGGCCCUGCCAGGGUCCCGCGUGGGAAGCCGCGCCGUGCCCAUUCGGUGCCCGUGCCGUGAGGGCGCUCCUCGCGGUCUCCCUUUCGCCCGCAGGCAACGGUCGGAAAAUAACGCCCUUCCCCGACGCACCAAUCUGGAAGGUCUACGGUAAUGCAAGUGACACAGACGGAAAGGCAAGGUAAUGAGAUAAUUCACAACGACAUCCUCAGAAAAUUCAUCUGAUACUGGGACUGGCCAGGAUUUCACCAGUGGUGACUGAAUGUAACAAUGUAUUUCUAAACAAUGCAAAGAUUUGGGAGCUCAUGAAAUUAAAACAGAAACAGUACCAACAUUACCAGUUUAAGUGGUUAGAAAGUAACUACAUUUUCUGUUGAAGUGCCUCAAAACUUCCAGGCUUGGGGAAAAAAGAAAAAAGAAAAACCCCAACAUGUCAAGCAUGAUAAAGUAACACCAGAUCUGCAAAACAGUGUUAGAAAGAAUCCUGAAGUCACCACUUUUCCACUGUCAAAUAUAAGCCUGUCUUGCAAGUACUGUACUAUAAUAAGCGUAUCCAACAAAAACAGAACUGAGUAAGAAGUUUGUUUCUUACAAACAAGAAAUGCGCCAGCACAACAGUUGCCAAUCUCUGUUAAGAGAAGCUCCAAGUUCUAUUACAUGCUGUGUAUGAUUCUGGUUCAUUUGGAGUGAAAGGUCCCUUCAUGCCCAACUGCUCAUGUUCAUGUGCUGUGCACCCUUGAAACAGAUAAUGUACAUCAACUUGCAGAAACCAGUAGGAACUAGAAAGCAGGAGAGGAAAAAAAUAAUGAUACACUGGUAGCUGAGAAGAAUGCUUCAGGUUAACUCUUUCCUGUAGAUUUAAGAAUUUUGUGAAUGGAAUAUUUUUAUCCUAUUUUAACAAUUGUAUCACAGUCUAAAUGUUGGGUAAUAGAACACCGAACAAGAAAAACAGGAUUCAUUGGUACUGGUGUUGUGCAUAAUUUCAGACAACUGGUUGAAGCAAAGUAUGUCACAAGUUGCUUCUGAUUUUGUUAUAACUUAUCCCAAGUUAGGAGCUCAGCCCGAUCUUCCCAAUAAAUGCAUAUACAUCCA